GGGGAUGACUGGUUUCGACUUGGACGGUAGUUCGAGGAGAAGCGGGCCGAGGAUCCAUGCUUGUCUCGUUAACGCUGCAUGGGAACCAAUAAGUGCCAACAACAGCCGCACUGACUUCGCUCUCGCUGCCUGAUCAGCGAUCGAAGGGUCACGCCCGGGGGUGCCUUCCUCCUGGUGCCUGGCCUCAUUCUUGAAGGCUUGCUGAACCGCCUGUGUUCCAGGGGUGGUUCGGGACUCAACUGGAACUGGGCCCGGCUGCGACUUGCUGACGUGAGCGCAGGGGCCGAGCAGACCGCCUAGUCAGCUGCGCCCGGAGAAUCCCUGGUUCGCCUUUCAAGGACGCGGGUUCAAUUCCCGCCAUCUCCACUG
rfam:Pseudopropionibacterium propionicum F0230a chromosome, complete genome.